UAAAAUCGUCAACUCAAGACCUAACGCUAUUAGCCAUUAGGUCGCCGUCAUAGUAAGCUCCUUCACUCCCCUGCUUUACCUUUUUUUCUUCCCCAAAUUAAUUUACAAAAAAAAUAAAAAUUAAGAAAAAUUAUUCCAAAAAUUCUGCGAAGAUAAGAUGAAGAUGAUGAUGGAAGAGGAGAGAGAAAUUGAUGCAACGAAGAAGGAAGUUAUCGCCAUGAAUGGAAAGAAAAAAGAGGAGUUUGAACAAGUUGUUGAGGAAGAUGAAGUUGAUGGUGAGGAAGAAGAUGGUGAAAACGAUGACGAUGAUGAUGAUAAUGAUGAUGAAGAUGAUGAUGAUGAAGAUGGUGAUGAUGAUGGUGAUGAGGAUGGAGCACAAGAAGGUAUACAAUCUUCUGAUGGUCCUGCUGUUCAAUCUGUUGAUGAUGAAGAUGAUGAUGCGGACGAUGACGAUGAUGACGACGACGAUGACGAUGAUGACGACGAUGAUGAAGGUGAUGAUGAGGAGCCUGAUACCGGGUACCUUGUCCGCCCUGUUGCUCCCGCUGAAGACGAGUUGGAGGCCUCUGAUUUUGAGCCCGAGGAGAAUGGUGAGGAAGAAGAUAGUGAUGAAGAUGAAGAGGAUGACGAUGAAGAUGAUGAUGAUGAGGAGGAUGGUGGAAAGGUAGAGGCCCCACCUAAACGCAAAAGGUCAGGCAAAGACGAGGAUGAUUCUGGUGAUGAUGAUGGAGAUGAUGAUGUGAGACCAUCAAAGCGGUAGGGGUGGUUUAUCUAACCUCCGCUGCUCCUCCCUCUGGAAGAAUGCCGAUGGAGAGCUUGACCCAUCGGCAUAGACGAUCCAACUGGCAAAAGGUGAUUGCUGAGUAUGUUGGGCCAAGUUUUCUUACGCGACAACGUUGGCGUCAAUUCACUAGAAAGUCGGAUUUCUUCGUACCAAGUAUCUAAAAUACAACUGGACCUCAUUUAUCAUCCAUCAGAUAUUUAUAUUUCUAGACGACAAUUUAUGACGACUAAUGUGCCGGAUCCUAGAUGAACAAGUGAACAACGAUUGUUGAUAUCAAUAUAUCAUCAUCAUGCCAGAAUACUUGAGAAUCAUGUGCUCCCACCUUCCAACUUGCCGGUCGGGCGUUCAACUUUAAUUAGCCUUAAUUUAGGGAGUUUGUUUAAAUAUUUGCUUUUGGAUAUAAAUCUCUAGUUUCCAAUCUCUAGUUUCGUUAUAGGUUGGGAUUUCCCUUCUUACCCUCAACUCAUGAGGACUGACUCUGUUUUGACUAGUUAAUUAUCAAAUAAAAAAAAAACAUGCUAGAA